rnacentral:rRNA from 1 species
ACCACGCACGUUAUGGUGGGCACUCUAAGGAGACUGCCGGUGACAAACCGGAGGAAGGUGGGGAUGACGUCAAGUCAUCAUGGCCCUUACGGCCUGGGCUACACACGUGCUACAAUGGUCGGUACAAAGGGUUGCCAAGCCGCGAGGUGGAGCUAAUCCCAUAAAACCGAUCGUAGUCCGGAUCGCAGUCUGCAACUCGACUGCGUGAAGUCGGAAUCGCUAGUAAUCGUGAAUCAGAAUGUCACGGUGAAUACGUUCCCGGGCCUU